ACAGUAAACAUAGGUUCUGGUACUAUGUGAUAAGUCAUUUUUUCAUGCAGACCCAGUUUCAUUGAUACCUUGAACUUAAAGUGGUUUUAUGCAUAUCAGCCCAGAUUGUGUGUGUAAUUUUAUUAAACAAUUCAACAAUACACGUUCUAAACAGGUUAAAUUCAAUUUACAAAUUUACAAAUUCAGAUCUACUGGCAUUCAACACCCAAUUACUUACUUGCUGUAUAUUGUCAAUCCCUCAACAUCGUGAAUACGCCAUGCGAGGUGUUGGCUAUGUUUGAUACAGGGUGGCGGCUUCGAAGCGUAGAAAAAAAUCCAGGGCAAGGACAUUAAAGAUAAAGGGAAACUAUAAACAAAAGAAAUUAUCAACAAAAAUAGAUUUACAGAUGUCAACAAAGCCUAAAUGGUCAGACAUCUUGGUUUUCAUGAUCAUCAUUCAACAAGUCAAUACUGAACAGAAAACUUAAAGUUGAUAUUUUUCUACAUAGUGUGACUUUUUUAUUAAUUUGAAAUGGAAUGUGUUUUUUUCCUACAUAAGAAAGAGGAAAUUUCAUCAUAAUGACUAUAAACAAAAAGGCGUCAUAUCAUCAUGAUCAUAGAUGCACAAGAACUUAAUCAUGUAAAUGCAACAACGUAAUUAUCAAUUGAAAGAAGGGAGGAAUGAAAAAAUAUAUUAGUAUUUUGUUGUCCAAAUGAACUUGCUUUAUCCACUCAUUUAAAUCGCUCCAUCCAAUAAAGAUGUACGGUGGAAGAUUUUUGAAGAACAGAUUGCAAAAGAGGUUUUGUCUUAGAAUUGUAGGAAUAUUCUAGUGGAUGAAAUAAUUUAUUUACUUGACUCUUAUAUAGUGGACUGAAUAAUUGUACAUAGCAAGCUGAAACAAGAAAAACUAAAACUUAACGGGAAAAGUGUUUAUUUUAUAAAUUUGCAAAUAUAAACGUAAUAUUAUGAACACCACAAAGGUAUAAGAUUCAAAUCGUUUGCAUAUUCAUGUAUUGCA